rnacentral:rRNA from 1 species
GUUAGGAAUAUUGGACAAUGGGCGCAAGCCUGAUCCAGCCAUGCCGCGUGAGUGAUGAAGGCCUUAGGGUUGUAAAGCUCUUUCAGUGGGGACGAUAAUGACGGUACCCACAGAAGAAGCCCCGGCUAACUUCGUGCCAGCAGCCGCGGUAAUACGAAGGGGGCUAGCGUUGUUCGGAUUUACUGGGCGUAAAGCGCACGUAGGCGGAUCGUUAAGUCGGGGGUGAAAUCCUGGAGCUCAACUCCAGAACUGCCUUCGAUACUGGCGAUCUUGAGUCCGGAAGAGGUGAGUGGAACUCCUAGUGUAGAGGUGGAAUUCGUAGAUAUUAGGAAGAACACCAGUGGCGAAGGCGGCUCACUGGUCCGGUACUGACGCUGAGGUGCGAAAGCGUGGGGAGCAAACAGGAUUAGAUACCCGAGUAGUCC